UUCCCUUCUUCCCCUUUCCACAUAGUGGUGGUUAGAUGGCUGUGUUAUAAUAACAAAAGGUCAGUUUCUAUGGCCACUUGGUCGGUGUGAAUGCAAAUGGAAAAAAACAGUUUUGGGGGAGAGUAGUUAGUAGAACUGUUUAGAAGUGAACUGUUCCUAUAACUACGCUCCUGUUACUACUUGCUCAG